GACGAACGCUGGCGGCGUGCCUAAUACAUGCAAGUUGAGCGCUGAAGGUUGGUACUUGUACCGACUGGAUGAGCAGCGAACGGGUGAGUAACGCGUGGGGAAUCUGCCUUUGGGCGGGGGACAACAUUUGGAAACGAAUGCUAAUACCGCAUAAAAACUUUAAACACAAGUUUUAAGUUUGAAAGAUGCAAUUGCAUCACUCAAAGAUGAUCCCGCGUUGUAUUAGCUAGUUGGUGAGGUAAAGGCUCACCAAGGCGAUGAUACAUAGCCGACCUGAGAGGGUGAUCGGCCACAUUGGGACUGAGACACGGCCCAAACUCCUACGGGAGGCAGCAGUAGGGGAUCUUCGGCAAUGGACGAAAGUCUGACCGAGCAACGCCGCGUGAGUGAAGAAGGUUUUCGGAUCGUAAAACUCUGUUGGUAGAGAAGAACGUUGGUGAGAGUGGAAAGCUCAUCAAGUGACGGUAACUACCCAGAAAGGGACGGCUAACUACGUG
rnacentral:rRNA from 1 species